GACGAACCGAGCAAACGUUAUUCGGAAUCACUGGGCUUAAAGGGCGCGUAGGCGGGUUGUCAAGUCCGUGGUGAAAUCCUCCAGCUUAACUGGAGGACGGCCGCGGAUACUGGUGACCUAGAGGAAGGUAGGGGCAUCUGGAACUGGUGGUGGAGCGGUGAAAUGCGUUGAUAUCAUCAGGAACGCCGGUGGCGAAGGCGAGAUGCUGGCCCUUUUCUGACGCUGAGGCGCGAAAGCCAGGGGAGCGAACGGG
rnacentral:rRNA from 1 species